rnacentral:rRNA from 1 species
AGGUGGCAAGCGUUGUCCGGAUUUACUGGGCGUAAAGGGAGUGUAGGCGGAUACUUAAGUCAGAUGUGAAAUACCCGGGCUCAACUUGGGUGCUGCAUUUGAAACUGGGUGUCUAGAGUGCAGGAGAGGAAAGUGGAAUUCCUAGUGUAGCGGUGAAAUGCGUAGAGAUUAGGAAGAACACCAGUGGCGAAGGCGACUUUCUGGACUGUAACUGACGCUGAGGCUCGAAAGCGUGGGGAGCAAA